UACGUAGGUGGCGAGCGUUGUCCGGAUUUACUGGGUGUAAAGGGCGUGUAGGCGGAUUCUCAAGUCAGGUGUGAAAUACCGCAGCUUAACUGCGGGGCUGCACUUGAAACUGGGAACCUUGAGUGUUGGAGAGGAAAGCGGAAUUCCUAGUGUAGCGGUGAAAUGCGUAGAUAUUAGGAGGAACACCAGUGGCGAAGGCGGCUUUCUGGACAAUAACUGACGCUGAGGCGCGAAAGCGUGGGGAGCAAACAGG
rnacentral:rRNA from 1 species